UGGGGGAUAUUGCACAAUGGGGGGAACCCUGAUGCAGCGACGCCGCGUGAGUGAAGAAGUAAUUCGUUAUGUAAAGCUCUAUCAGCAGGGAAGAAGAAAUGACGGUACCUGAGUAAGAAGCCCCGGCUAACUACGUGCCAGCAGCCGCGGUAAUACGUAGGGGGCAAGCGUUAUCCGGAUUUACUGGGUGUAAAGGGAGCGUAGACGGCGAUGCAAGCCAGAUGUGAAAGCCCGCGGCUCAACUGCGGGACUGCAUUUGGAACUGUAUGGCUGGAGUGCAGGAGAGGCAGGCGGAAUUCCUAGUGUAGCGGUGAAAUGCGUAGAUAUUAGGAGGAACACCAGUGGCGAAGGCGGCCUGCUGGACUGUAACUGACGUUGAGGCUCGAAAGCGUGGGGAGCAAACAGGAUUAGAUACCC
rnacentral:rRNA from 1 species